CAGCUCCCAAUAAAAAAUCCUAAACUCUCAGUCUCAAAUAGGAUUCCCUAGGCAGAAACACUGCAUAUGUGGUGUAUUUUUUCUGCUGUAAAGACAGUACACUCUGUGUGAUCCCUCAUGGGAAGAAUAGAGUAUAGGAAACCUGCAUACAUAUUACUCGAGACUCAGAUUGUGUCUUUUUCCCUAACUGAACAAACUGAGUAUCCUGACCAUGUUACCUGUAAAAAUUUGAAACAUGGAAGAAACUGUAUGCUGAGCUUGUGAGUCCUAGUAAACUACUGAGGAUGUGGGUGGUCUUGUGGACUCCUGAAACAGCUGUCAUGUAUUUUAUUUCCACACAUAUCUUAAACUCAAGGCUGAGACAUUAUCUUCAUUAGCUUGAUCCUGGGUGGUGGUUUGCCCAGAGUCCUCAAUUCUCCAGUGAGUAAGAAAAUGUCUUUGAUUUUUCGUUUGCUCAGCUUUUGUCUUGUUGUAAGGAUGCAAUUGAUGUUUUCAGUCUUGUUAUAUGUAGAAACUGAAACUUAAAAGUCAGCUUCAAUUAAUAUUUUCAUUGUUAAUUUAGAAUAUAUUUACUGGUAUUGUGUAGUCACUGUAGUCCAAUGAAUCUUUUCUUAUCUCUCAAAAUAUUCUCUUACCUAUUACUAAUUGUUCACCUUUUCAACCCAUAUAGCCAUGAAUCUUCUCAUGCAUCCACAAUUCAUUUUCAGUGUAAAAUGCAUUGAGUUAUGCGCUGAAUGAUUCACUUAAUAUCCUUGUGUCUCAGUUUCUAAAUAUCUCAAAUGAAAGUUAGAAUGUGGAAUACCAUUCAGGAUUAUUUGUAAGUUAUUUUUUUUCAUGGUUAAUAUUCUAUAUACAGUUGCAUGUAAAGCAACAUUUUAAAAAAGGAAUCACAGUUUGAAUGUUUUAAAGCAGUGGUAUUCAAAAUGCAGUUAUUGAACUAGCAGCUUCAACCUUAUCUAGGAACUUUUUAGAAAUGCAAGUUUUUGAACCCCACACCUGAACUAAAGAUACAGAAACUCUGAAGGUGGGAUGCAGAAUCUGGUUUUAACAGGCCCGGCAGGUGACUCAGAGUCAAGUUAUAAUUGAGAACCACUGAUUUAGAACAGUGCAUCCAUUGUUUUACAUAAUCUUUCUCUAAAUUGUUAUUAAAUUACAUAAUCAUAAUUUAGUGUACAUUUAUUAUUCUUUUCUAUUUGGACUUUCAUAGAUUAGUUUUUAAAACAUGCUUAUAUAUUUACUUAUAAAUAUAGUCAUUUGUAUGAGUAUCUUAAUAGUGUAACUUAGUUCUGUAGGUAUGUGGGACUGUAAGCAGGUGGAUCAUUCAGUAUGCCUAAAGAUUCAGUUGAAAGCAAGUGUCAAUAUAAAUGGAAAGGAGUCUAUAAUGAUAUGAGGCUUCAUGAGCAUGGAUUUUUUAAUGAAUUUGUAGUACAUGUUUAGAGUUUGAACUUCCACAUUGACACAUGUAAACAAAAUUAGGAUCAAAUUACCGGUUAUGAUUAUUUCAAUUUAUAGAUGUGAACAUAAUUGGAACUUUUUUUUCUAACAGGCUUAACAGCCUUUUCCUGUUACUGAGUAAACAUUUGUGUGAUAUUGUGCUUUACCACAGACAAAUAAUCCCAUAUUUUCUCUGCAUCUAUGCCUACUUGUUUUCAAUAUGCUUAAUAUCUGGCAUAGAUCAACAUUUAUGUCAAAGAACACAUUAUUUUCUCAGGUGGGAAAACUUUAAAAAGAUAACCUUAGAGGUUUUCCAUAGAUAAACACUUCAGGUGAGGUUAAGGAUAAGACAACUGAUUGGUAAUUUGUGAGCAAAUAAUUUUUUGAUAAGAUUAGAAAAGUUUGUUAUAAAUUGAGGUAGAUGUUGAGAAAGAUGAAGUCAAGAUUUUCUAUAACACAUACUAUUGUGAUUCCUUUAUAAAGCAACUAUUUAUAUGAUAUAUCUCACAUCAAAUCCAUCUCCUCCACUGUGUCUGCACCAAUCACUUUCUAUGUAAAAUUGGUUAGGAUGUAAAGCAUUAAGUAUUAUACAACGAGUUAUUAAUAUUUUAAAAUACUGAUUCAUCUCUCUAGAGAUACAAUAUAGUAGGGAACAUUUCUAUUAAAACAAUUUAAAAUAAUAAUAAAUAUAAUCACCUCACUUUAGACUAUCUGAUGAGAAUGAACCUAAUUUGAAAAGCAGUAACUUAUCAAAAGAAAUCAUAGCUUUCCAUCCUUUCUAUUAUUUUCCUUGUGUCCUGAGAAAAAAAUAAAAUAAGACUUACUGGUUUCAUGAUAUUUUUAUAUUGUGCAUUAAUGAUGGGUUUCACGUGGUGAUGGUAGCUUAGACUGAGAGGCAUUGUUCACUUUUAGAACCACAUUGAUUUUUUUUCACAUCUGUUUUAUGAAUCACAAAAGCUAAAGCCAUAAUGUGUUAGCAAAAGGGUACUGGUAUAAUUUACAGUAAAACAAUGUUGACCUGAAAAGAAAAAGCUGGUGGUAUUUAUAUCAAUAUGUAGAGUAAUUCUUGAACUAUAUUAGCAGUUCAAUAAAUACUAUUGAAUAAAAAAUAAUACAAUUAAAUGUGUAAUCAUUUGCUUAACAGAAUAUGUACAUGGGAUAGAUUAGGAAUGUAAAUAAUAAUAAAACCUAAAAUUAAUUAAGAAACACAUUAUUUACAAUUAAUUUCUAAAUAAAAUAAAAAAAUACUAAAAUAUUAAAAUAUUUCAUGUUUUUAAAUCUAUACCAUGACAAAGUAAUAGCUCAUCUGGGCCUGGUGUGGUAGCUCACGCCUGCAAUACCAGCACUUUUGGAGACCGAGGUGGGCAGGUCACCUGUGGUCAGGAGUUUGAGACCAGCCUAACCAACAUGGUGAAUCCCUGUCUCUAUUACAAAUACAAAAAAAAAAAAAAAAUGGCCAAGCAUGGUGGCACCCAUCUGUAGUCCCAGUUACUCGGGAGGCUGAGAAGGAGAGUCGCUUGAACAGAGGAGGCAGAGGUUGCAGUGAGCCAAGAUCGCUCCACUGCACUAUAGCCUGGGCAACAGAAAGAGACUCUGUCUCAAAAAAAAAAAAGAAAAAAAAAGAAGUCAUAGCUCAUCUGAUUUUACUCAGAGAAUAAUAAAAUACAAAUAAAUCUUAAGGGGUCCCAUGACCUUCUGAUCUUGUUUUCCCUUGCGAGGAUGGCCAUAUUUUCCAUUAAACAUUGAUUUAAUAACUAAUUUUAGGAAGUUACUCUCCUGAAAACAUGCUACCAUGAGCUGUAGUCCUCUUAGUGCCCACUCUUUCUCUUUGGAUAAGAGGUUAAUAAAUUUGGAAGAAUAUAUUAAGCAUGGAACCCCUUGCUCUGUAUUAAUAAAAUACUAUGCCCACAGAGAGGGAAAUUUGUUUCUUUCUUCUUCAGGGACAGGUCUGUCUGUGGCAGAGACCUACCCACAUUCAGGGAAGAUAAAUAUGUAUGUUAAAUUCUGGGCUUUCUAUUAGAAAGUAUAGUUUUCCGUAAAUAGCAGCAAUACAAUCUAACCUACAGAUAAUCAAUAAUUACACCUCACUCCCUUUUAUGAAAUACUUUUUGUACUUGGCUUCCAAGGGACUACUUUUGACUCUCUUUUCUGUCAUGAAAAUUUUACGUGAAAUGUGAUAUGCACAAAUGUGAA
rnacentral:lncRNA from 10 species